AUUGAACGCUGGCGGCAUGCCUUACACAUGCAAGUCGAACGGUAACGCGGGGCAACCUGGCGACGAGUGGCGAACGGGUGAGUAAUGUAUCGGAACGUGCCCAGUUGUGGGGGAUAACUGCUCGAAAGAGCAGCUAAUACCGCAUACGACCUGAGGGUGAAAGCGGGGGAUCGCAAGACCUCGCGCAAUUGGAGCGGCCGAUAUCAGAUUAGGUAGUUGGUGGGGUAAAGGCCCACCAAGCCAACGAUCUGUAGCUGGUCUGAGAGGACGACCAGCCACACUGGGACUGAGACACGGCCCAGACUCCUACGGGAGGCAGCAGUGGGGAAUUUUGGACAAUGGGCGCAAGCCUGAUCCAGCCAUGCCGCGUGCGGGAAGAAGGCCUUCGGGUUGUAAACCGCUUUUGUCAGGGAAGAAACGCUCUGGGUUAAUACCUCGGGGUAAUGACGGUACCUGAAGAAUAAGCACCGGCUAACUACGUGCCAGCCGCCGCGGUAAGAC
rnacentral:rRNA from 1 species